AAACCCGGUGCGUGAAGAGUUGCAUUCUGUCAGGCGGUAAACCACCCCGGAUGCCGGGAGAUUUGAAAAUCUGCCUACUGAAUGUAGUUCCAUUGAGUUGAAGAGUCGGCUUAAACGCUUCGAGGGUAUAAAGCAACAAGUCCGAAGUAAGUGUCCUCAAAUUGGAGCGUCCGUAGCAUUUUCCAAGUACCUCGUCUCAUUUACAAGUGUCUACGUGCCCAUGCUAGUCUGAAGCUAGGUGCCCUCGAGUUAACUGAGACAGAAAAUAAUUAUUCAACCACAUGGAAGAAAACAAAUUUUCGCAGGUCGAUCGCCGCGGCUGGUUAUUUCUGUAAUUUUUUGACGAAAACGAUGAAAAAAAAGGAGAAAAAAAGGGUUGAAAACCCCAACAUUUAAUGAAUCAAAUUCAGAGUCUCUCAACUGCAUUUCGCUCCCAGCUUAUCUUUAGUUUUCUUUUCAAAGUGACGUAGAAAUCAGGUGAAAAGGUGGGCGUGUGCACAUUAGAAAAAAUAAAUAAAAUAAUAUUAAAAAAAAGGAAGGAAAAAAAGAGAAUGAAAUAAAAUCGUGUCGAGGGGGAAGGGUGAAAAAAACUCGGUCAAGUUGAAUGCAAGUAUGAGGUAUAAUGUAUAUAUCCUGUAGUAUAAAUGGAAAAUGGUAGUAGCGAAUUGGUACUUGAAUAUCACGGUGAGAUUUUGCGCUAGAGGGUUUUCGAUAAAAUUCCCAAUGGCGUAGGGUAUAGAAAGGUUAUAAAGGAAGGUUGGUUGGUAGUUUGGUAGGGUAGGUGGAAUAAGGGCGAUGCGCCGUAUCGAGUCUCGACUCGAAAAGCAUCAUCCCCUACGAGAAGGCAGAGGCAGAGCCAGACUGGCAGCAUCGGGCCCCCUAUAUUGAUCUCUCGACUCACCUCCUCUCCGCCGUGUGCAUUUCGCACGAAUCUCAGUGUUAGAAGGUGGCUUCGUCAUUCGCGCAAACCUUCGCAACUUACGUGAAUUAAAAAUAAAAAUAAGAAAAGAAAAUAGGUAUCGAACAACCGAAAAGCUAAAAACACAUUGGGGGUAAAAAAACGGCGGAUGGAAAAUAAAUUAUUAUAACAAAUAACAGAAAUUACCGAAAACGAACAACAAAGAGAACGAAUGUUAAAAUAAAGAAUUUCAAUUGUAAAAAGAGAUAAAAAAUUAAAA